CAGUCGAACGGAACUGUUUUGAAGAUUUCUUCGGAAUGAAUUUGAUUUAGUUCAGUGGCGGACGGGUGAGUAACGCGUGAGUAACCUGCCUUCAAGAGGGGGAUAACAUUCUGAAAAGAAUGCUAAUACCGCAUGACAUAUCGGAAUCACAUGGUUUUGAUAUCAAAGAUUUUAUCGCUUGAAGAUGGACUCGCGUCCGAUUAGUUAGUUGGUGAGGUAACGGCUCACCAAGACCGCGAUCGGUAGCCGGACUGAGAGGUUGAACGGCCACAUUGGGACUGAGACACGGCCCAGACUCCUACGGGAGGCAGCAGUGGGGGAUAUUGCGCAAUGGGGGCAACCCUGACGCAGCAACGCCGCGUGAAGGAUGAAGGUUUUCGGAUUGUAAACUUCUUUUAUUAAGGACGAAACUUGACGGUACUUAAUGAAUAAGCUCCGGCUAACUACGUGCCAGCAGCCGCGGUAAUACGUAGGGAGCAAGCGUUGUCCGGAUUUACUGGGUGUAAAGGGUGCGUAGGCGGCUUUGCAAGUCAGAUGUGAAAUCUAUGGGCUCAACCCAUAAACUGCAUUUGAAACUGUAGAGCUUGAGUGAAGUAGAGGCAGGCGGAAUUCCCCGUGUAGCG
rnacentral:rRNA from 1 species